CAGCAGCCGCGGGAAUACAGAGGGUGCGAGCGUUAAUCGGAUUUACUGGGCGUAAAGCGUGCGUAGGCGGCUUCUUAAGUCGGAUGUGAAAUCCCUGAGCUUAACUUAGGAAUUGCAUUCGAUACUGGGAAGCUAGAGUAUGGGAGAGGAUGGUAGAAUUCCAGGUGUAGCGGUGAAAUGCGUAGAGAUCUGGAGGAAUACCGAUGGCGAAGGCAGCCAUCUGGCCUAAUACUGACGCUGAGGUACGAAAGCGUGGGUAGCGAACAGGAUUAGAUACCCCCGUAGUCCCUGUCUCUUAUAC
rnacentral:rRNA from 1 species